GUUACCCUGCUGUGCGCGUGAUGCCGCAUGACCGGUUUUGGGCCAACACCCUCUUUUCCGGAUUCCCAAUUUGCAACCGUGACGCGAUAGGCUUGAGCCAAGGCGGAUCUGUUGGGUGGGGAUCCAUCCUGCGAUUGCAGGUUCAAAACUGCGCAGCACACGACAUAGCGGGGUUGUU
rnacentral:other from 1 species